rnacentral:lncRNA from 1 species
GGAUCUCUUCGUCUCCCAUAGAAAUAGUCCCACAGCAAUUUUAAACAUGUAAGGAGGGUAUAAAUAUCCCAGCUUUCCCGUAACUUUCUAGAAUUCUACAGAGCAAGCGGCACUCGCUAUGUUCGGACGAUGAACUCCUUCUAACCAAUCUCUCUGCUUAAGAACUAUACUAAUCACAGGCCUUUCUUUCAAAUUGAGAUUGGAAUUGAGAUUUUUCUCAAAGUUUUUAAGAAGGAUGUGCUUGCCUAUCCGAGGUAAUGUGCUUCCGGGCGCUGAACACUAGAGGGCAUCAUUCGGUGAAAGCCAGGAUUUGGGAGAGGGAGAAAGAGAAGGAAUUCCAUUGCUAAUGAAAGAAACUGAUUUUUUAGUGUGCACCCUUAUCUACCAUGAAGCAUUACCAUGGUAACUGCACCAGUUAAGAUGAUUGUAUAUUUAGGUCACAGUAUAAAAGAAGGAGCCUGAACAUGAGGGGGGGAAAAAAGGGAAGCAAAAUAAAGACAAGAAUAUAUGAAGUGUGGAAGGAGGCAAAGCAGCCAGAAACUCGCCCUUUGCUAAUCGCUGUUUCACGAAGUCACAUCAGGCCUCUCAGAAGAAAGGAGGAGAGUAAGUUCGAACUAAAAUUAAAAGUUGCCGUCGCAAUUCAGAACGGGAAAGCACCCUGACCUGAGCCAAAGGCAAUCUUAAUAAAUGAAGAGGAGCUCCUUCAGCAGCAAAACCACUGUCCUGGAAGUUGGGAGGUGUGAGCUCUUAGGCAGCUCUUGGUCAAUGCCUCAUGCUGGAAAAGCCUCUUCACCCACUUCAACACAUAGCAUGAGUUCAUCUGACAGAUAUCAACAUUGUCUUUCAUCCUUGUGCACCACACAAAAGAAAAUGUCAGUAUUGCAGAAGGUGGAAAGAACAUCGGCCAAAGUACCAGGAUCAGUUGCUGUUGAAGGCGCUCCUCCAAUGAGGUCUCCUCUGCUCCCUGAUUUGGCGGUUCUUCUGAGCAAAUAUGACAGCCUUUUCUUCUCCGGGCUCCUUUCCGCUCCUCCACGUCCAUCCCCAGAGCCUGGCUCUCCUUCUGCGGUUCCUACACCAGAACCUUCACAGCCAGCACCACCACCACCACCACCACCACCACCACCACCACCACCACCACCCAGUCCCAUUCCUGCAAGUACAUGAUUGCUGCAAAGGUGACAUGAACACCUUGCGAGGAGCACAAUGUUGCUUCUAGAUUGCCGAAGAUGCUUAAGAUCAGUUUUUCCAGGUGGGAAAAUGUUAGAAUAAAUCCGCUGUGCUCUGUGACCA